AACCCAUGGUGUGGGCAUUGGUUUGUGUAGCUCCUGAAUCUCUCAUAUGCUUCACCAAAACUCUCAUUGCUGUGCUGAAGCUAGAUAUUUGAUUCCUUAGUUU
rnacentral:snoRNA from 1 species